rnacentral:piRNA from 1 species
UCCUGAAGGUUAGUUUGCGAUGGUGGAGG